rnacentral:misc_RNA from 1 species
GAUGAAGAACGUAGCGAAAUGCGAUAAGUAAUGUGAAUUGCAGAAUUCAGUGAAUCAUCGAAUCUUUGAACGCACAUUGCGCCCGCCAGUAGUCUGGCGGGCAUGCCUGUUCGAGCGUCAUUUCCACCAUCAGGCCCCCGGGCCUGUGUUGGGGACCUGCGGCUGCCCGCAGGCCCCGAAAUUCAGUGGCGGUCGCGCCGUAGCAACCGAGCGUAGUAACUAAAACGUCUCGCUCUGGCUCGCUGGGCGCGCUCCGGCCGUAAAACACCCCCCCUUUUCGCAAAGGUUGACCUCGGAUCAGGUAGGAAUACCCGCUGAACUUAAGCAUAUCAAUAAGCGGAGGA